UACGUAGGGUGCAAGCGUUAAUCGGAAUUACUGGGCGUAAAGCGUGCGCAGGCGGUUAUGUAAGACAGUUGUGAAAUCCCCCGGGCUCAACCUGGGAACUGCAUCUGUGACUGCAUAGCUAGAGUACGGUAGAGGGGGAUGGAAUUCCGCGUGUAGCAGUGAAAUGCGUAGAGAUGUGGAGGAACACCCGAUGGCGAAGGCAGCCCCCUGGGCUGAGAUUGACGCUCAGGCACGAAAGCGUGGGGAGCAAACAGG
rnacentral:rRNA from 1 species